GUGUGGCGGAGGGAAGGGAGCGAUUUCUCAAGUGCUGCUUAAGCCAUUUAGCUCACUUCAGGUGAAAGAAAACAUCUUAAACAACAUCCAUACACCAUGCGGUAGCUAGUACCGGUGAGAGAGAGAAUCCCAGUGAGGCUUACAGUAGGAGAGGAAGCUAUGUGAAACUGCCACAUGCCAAUUCAAAUGCAAAACAUUUGCUUAUAACAAGUUGCUCUUCAUAUUGCACGGCGGAAUAUACUUUAUUCUGAUCUGUGAAGGGGAUGAAAAUGUUCUUGAUGGUGGUCGUUAUAGAAUGAUUUUGGUAAAUUGCCCAGUGUGGCUUCAGGUACUACAAGGAUAAACAGGUGACACCCAGUAAAAACUUUCACAGAAUGUUGGUAGCAGGAAGGAAAACACGAAAGUGUGUCCUCCCUGAUCAGACCGCUGGUGUUUCAGCUCUCUCCCUAAUCUCUGUCAUAGGACCAAAAGCUUUAGAGGAAACCGAGGGACUCUGCUAGACAACAUUAAUGAACAUGCUGAAUAAUACCCAUGAGAUUAGAGCUCGUCAGGACAAACUUGGUACCAGCUUGGGAAUUGACCAUACCACGGAGAUAAAGCGUAACUAGCCUAAUUCAUACCUGGAUAAACGCGGCUUGUUGGAGCCGCCUGGCAAGUAAUACCCAGAAUUCAUACUCUGCCUUUAAGAAGUCAAAUGAGUAUGUCCUUGGCUUAACAAAAAAGAUAGUUUAGUGCACGGUCCAUCUGUUUUGCACAUCCCCCAGCCAAAUAAAGCGCUCAUCUGCAGAAAAAAAGAUGAAAAGCUAAUGAUGAGUGGAUUGCAGCAAAUUCUCUUCAUUAGUUCGUGGCUAUUCAGAGCCUUGCAAAAGAACUCACGUGGUUGCCUAACUACACAAAAAUAGCAGAAUUAAUAUUCCCUCCGAGUUCCCAGGCACCAGCCGGGGGGAGGCAUCCUGCGAGCCCCGGGCGGACCCCGAAGCGCGUGGGAAAGAAGGAGUUAAAACGGGCAGCCUUUCUGGCGAGUCAGCCCGGACAGCGAGCGCAGGCCUUUCCUCUUUCGCCUUUUUUUUUCUUCUUAAUUAAUCAUACGCUGCUUCACAAUUUAAAUAUGGAAAUGGCGAGCCAUUCGCAAUUAUUAAUGAGCCUGCGGGCUGUCCUGUGGCGUUUCACGACAAGCUGUGUCAGCCCGCGGAAAGCAGCAUGGCAUCUCCUUUCUGAUGUGUGUGAAAUUUAUGUGCACAAAGGCUCCUCCUUAUCUAUGCGCAAGCUAAAUAAAUAAAUAAAGGCUUUUGUUUGCCCGGCUACUUGCACA